rnacentral:lncRNA from 1 species
UCUUACAGUUUUUUGAGGUGCCGUUUGACUCAAACAUGAGUAGAACAAAGAACAGACCUCUGGUUCGUGGACAGAUCAGCCCACUGCUAGCCGUGUCUUUUGCCACCUGCUGUGCUGUACCAGGAGUGGCCCUGUUGACCUGGGGAGUGAAUCCACUGACCGGGGCCUUGGGGGUCUUCAACAUUUUCCUGUAUACUUGUUGUUACACACCACUGAAGAGGGUCAGCAUCGCCAAUACCUGGGUUGGAGCCGUGGUUGGUGCCAUUCCUCCUGUCAUGGGCUGGACAGCUGCCACUGGAAGCCUCGAUGCUGGAGCACUUCUUCUGGGAGGGAUCCUGUACUCCUGGCAGUUCCCCCACUUCAACGCCCUGAGCUGGGGCCUCCGUGAAGACUACUCCCGAGGAGGCUACUGCAUGAUGUCUGUCACCCACCCAGCCCUCUGCCGGCGGGUGGCCCUGCGCCACUGCCUGGCCCUGAUUGCUUUGUCGACUACUG